rnacentral:rRNA from 1 species
CCCUAGUAACGGCGAGUGAAGCGGCAAGAGCUCAAAUUUGAAAUCUGGCCCUCUCAGGGUCCGAGUUGUAAUUUGUAGAGGGCGCUUUGGCGUUGGCCCCGGCCUAAGUUCCUUGGAACAGGACGUCACAGAGGGUGAGAACCCCGUACGUGGCCGCCGGCCUCCGCCGUGUAAAGCCCCUUCGACGAGUCGAGUUGUUUGGGAAUGCAGCUCUAAAUGGGAGGUAAAUUUCUUCUAAAGCUAAAUACUGGCCAGAGACCGAUAGCGCACAAGUAGAGUGAUCGAAAGAUGAAAAGCACUUUGGAAAGAGAGUCAAAAAGCACGUGAAAUUGUUGAAAGGGAAGCGCUUGCAGCCAGACUUGCCUGUAGUUGCUCAUCCGAGCUCCCGCUCGGUGCACUCUUCUGCGGGCAGGCCAGCAUCAGUCCGGGCGGUCGGAUAAAGGCCUCGGGAAUGUAGCUCCCCUCGGGGAGUGUUAUAGCCCGGGGUGCCAUGCGACCAGCCUGGACUGAGGUCCGCGCAUCUGCUAGGAUGCUGGCGUAAUGGCUGUAAGCGGCCCGUCUUGAAACACGGACCAAGGAGUCUAACAUCUAUGCGAGUGUUUGGGUGUCAAGCCCGGGCGCGCAAUGAAAGUGAACGGAGGUGGGAACCCCUCGGGGCGCACCAUCGACCGAUCCUGAUGUCUUCGGAUGGAUUUGAGUAAGAGCAUAGCUGUUGGGACCCGAAAGAUGGUGAACUAUGCCUGAAUAGGGUGAAGCCAGAGGAAACUCUGGUGGAGGCUCGCAGCGGUUCUGACGUGCAAAUCGAUCGUCAAAUUUGGGCAUAGGGGCGAAAGACUAAUCGAACUAUCUAGUAGCUGGUUCCUG